rnacentral:rRNA from 1 species
UUGAUUAUGACGUACUUGUACUGAUUGAGAUUUUAACACGAAGUGAGUGGCGAACGGGUGAGUAACACGUGGGUAACCUGCCCAGAAGUAGGGGAUAACACCUGGAAACAGAUGCUAAUACCGUAUAACAGAGAAAACCGCAUGGUUUUCUUUUAAAAGAUGGCUCUGCUAUCACUUCUGGAUGGACCCGCGGCGUAUUAGCUAGUUGGUGAGGUAAAGGCUCACCAAGGCAGUGAUACGUAGCCGACCUGAGAGGGUAAUCGGCCACAUUGGGACUGAGACACGGCCCAGACUCCUACGGGAGGCAGCAGUAGGGAAUCUUCCACAAUGGACGCAAGUCUGAUGGAGCAACGCCGCGUGAGUGAAGAAGGGUUUCGGCUCGUAAAGCUCUGUUGUUAAAGAAGAACGUGGGUAAGAGUAACUGUUUACCCAGUGACGGUAUUUAACCAGAAAGCCACGGCUAACUACGUGCCAGCAGCCGCGGUAAUACGUAGGUGGCAAGCGUUAUCCGGAUUUAUUGGGCGUAAAGCGAGCGCAGGCGGUCUUUUAAGUCUAAUGUGAAAGCCUUCGGCUCAACCGAAGAAGUGCAUUGGAAACUGGGAGACUUGAGUGCAGAAGAGGACAGUGGAACUCCAUGUGUAGCGGUGAAAUGCGUAGAUAUAUGGAAGAACACCAGUGGCGAAGGCGGCUGUCUGGUCUGCAACUGACGCUGAGGCUCGAAAGCAUGGGUAGCGAACAGGAUUAGAUACCCUGGUAGUCCAUGCCGUAAACGAUGAUUACUAAGUGUUGGAGGGUUUCCGCCCUUCAGUGCUGCAGCUAACGCAUUAAGUAAUCCGCCUGGGGAGUACGACCGCAAGGUUGAAACUCAAAAGAAUUGACGGGGGCCCGCACAAGCGGUGGAGCAUGUGGUUUAAUUCGAAGCUACGCGAAGAACCUUACCAGGUCUUGACAUCUUCUGACAGUCUAAGAGAUUAGAGGUUCCCUUCGGGGACAGAAUGACAGGUGGUGCAUGGUUGUCGUCAGCUCGUGUCGUGAGAUGUUGGGUUAAGUCCCGCAACGAGCGCAACCCUUAUUACUAGUUGCCAGCAUUAAGUUGGGCACUCUAGUGAGACUGCCGGUGACAAACCGGAGGAAGGUGGGGACGACGUCAAAUCAUCAUGCCCCUUAUGACCUGGGCUACACACGUGCUACAAUGGAUGGUACAACGAGUCGCGAGACCGCGAGGUUAAGCUAAUCUCUUAAAACCAUUCUCAGUUCGGACUGUAGGCUGCAACUCGCCUACACGAAGUCGGAAUCGCUAGUAAUCGCGGAUCAGCAUGCCGCGGUGAAUACGUUCCCGGGCCUUGUACACACCGCCCGUCACACCAUGAGAGUUUGUAACACCCAAAGCCGG